ACGGGAGGCAGCAGUGGGGGAUAUUGCACAAUGGGCGGAAGCCUGAUGCAGCGACGCCGCGUGAGGGAAGACAGUUUUCGGAUUGUAAACCUCUGUCUUCGGGGACGAAAAUGACGGUACCCGAGGAGGAAGCCACGGCUAACUACGUGCCAGCAGCCGCGGUAAUACGUAGGUGGCAAGCGUUGUCCGGAAUAACUGGGUGUAAAGGGAGAGUAGGCGGUAUUGCAAGUCCGUUGUUAAAUCUAUCGGCUCAACCGAGAGCUGCGGCGGAAACUGUAGUUCUUGAGUGAAGUAGAGGCAGGCGGAAUUCCUAGUGUAGCGGUGAAAUGCGUAGAUAUUAGGUGGAACACCAGUGGCGAAGGCGGCCUGCUGGGCUUUAACUGACGCUGAGGCUCGAAAGUGUGGGGAGCAAACAGGAUUAGAUACCCUGGUA
rnacentral:rRNA from 1 species